UACGUAGGGGGCGAGCGUUGUCCGGAUUUAUUGGGCGUAAAGAGCGUGUAGGCGGCCAGGUAGGUCCGUUGUGAAAACUCGAGGCUCAACCUCGAGACGUCGAUGGAAACCAUCUGGCUAGAGUCCGGAAGAGGAGAGUGGAAUUCCUGGUGUAGCGGUGAAAUGCGCAGAUAUCAGGAGGAACACCGGUGGCGAAGGCGGGUCUCUGGGCCGAUACUGACGCUGAGGAGCGAAAGCGUGGGGAGCGAACAGG
rnacentral:rRNA from 1 species